rnacentral:rRNA from 2 species
CCUGGCUCAGGACGAACGCUGGCGGCGUGCCUAAUACAUGCAAGUCGAGCGGACCUUGGCGAUCUUCGGAUCGCUCUUGGUUAGCGGCGGACGGGUGAGUAACACGUAGGCAACCUGCCUGUGAGACUGGGAUAACUACCGGAAACGGUAGCUAAUACCAGAUAAUUGAUUUUCCUGCAUGGGAGAAUCAUGAAAGAUGGAGCAAUCUAUCACUUACAGAUGGGCCUGCGGCGCAUUAGCUAGUUGGUGGGGUAAUGGCUCACCAAGGCGACGAUGCGUAGCCGACCUGAGAGGGUGAACGGCCACACUGGGACUGAGACACGGCCCAGACUCCUACGGGAGGCAGCAGUAGGGAAUCUUCCGCAAUGGACGAAAGUCUGACGGAGCAACGCCGCGUGAGUGAUGAAGGUUUUCGGAUCGUAAAGCUCUGUUGCCAGGGAAGAACGUCCGGUAGAGUAACUGCUACCGGAGUGACGGUACCUGAGAAGAAAGCCCCGGCUAACUACGUGCCAGCAGCCGCGGUAAUACGUAGGGGGCAAGCGUUGUCCGGAAUUAUUGGGCGUAAAGCGCGCGCAGGCGGCUGUUUAAGUCUGGUGUUUAAUCCUGGGGCUCAACCCUGGGUCGCACUGGAAACUGGACAGCUUGAGUACAGAAGAGGAGAGUGGAAUUCCACGUGUAGCGGUGAAAUGCGUAGAUAUGUGGAGGAACACCAGUGGCGAAGGCGACUCUCUGGGCUGUAACUGACGCUGAGGCGCGAAAGCGUGGGGAGCAAACAGGAUUAGAUACCCUGGUAGUCCACGCCGUAAACGAUGAGUGCUAGGUGUUAGGGGUUUCGAUACCCUUGGUGCCGAAGUUAACACAUUAAGCACUCCGCCUGGGGAGUACGGUCGCAAGACUGAAACUCAAGGAAUUGACGGAUCACUAGUGCGGCC